rnacentral:rRNA from 1 species
UAGCAUACGCUUGUCUCAAAGAUUAAGCCAUGCAUGUCUAAGUAUAAACAAAUCUAUACUGUGAAACUGCGAAUGGCUCAUUAUAUCAGUUAUAGUUUAUUUGAUGGUUCUUGCUACUUGGAUAACCGUAGUAAUUCUAGAGCUAAUACAUGCAUCAAGCCCCGACUAUUUGGAAGGGGUGUAUUUAUUAGAUGGAAACCAAUGCGGGGCAACCCGGAAUAUGGUGAUUCAUAAUAACUUUCGGAUCGAUUUUUAAUCGAUGCAUCAUUCAAGUUU